rnacentral:rRNA from 1 species
CCUACGGGAGGCAGCAGUGAGGAAUAUUGGUCAAUGGACGAGAGUCUGAACCAGCCAAGUAGCGUGAAGGAUGACUGCCCUAUGGGUUGUAAACUUCUUUUAUAUGGGAAUAAAAUGUUCCACGUGUGGGAUUUUGUAUGUACCAUAUGAAUAAGGAUCGGCUAACUCCGUGCCAGCAGCCGCGGUAAUACGGAGGAUCCGAGCGUUAUCCGGAUGUAUUGGGUUUAAAGGGAGCGUAGGUGGAUUGUUAAGUCAGUUGUGAAAGUUUGCGGCUCAACCGUAAAAUUGCAGUUGAAACUGGCAGUCUUGAGUACAGUAGAGGUGGGCGGAAUUCGUGGUGUAGCGGUGAAAUGCUUAGAUAUCACCAAGAACUCCGAUUGCGAAGGCAGCUCACUGGACUGCAACUGACACUGAGGCUCGAAAGUGUGGGUAUCAAACAGGAUUAGAUACCCCGGUAGUC